ensembl:lncRNA
UUACUUUACUUGCUUGCCUGCUUGCUCUCAAUGAAGCAGCUACAUCAAAACAAGCAUGGAAAAAUAAGAAGCCACACAUGGAUAACGCCUGAACUCUGCUCUUUGCCCACAGGAAGGGGUGUCCGUAUAGCAGGCGGCCCAAGGCAGCGCACAAGGGAAAGCAUCAGCUGGGCUGACACCAGUGGUGCUGCUCGGCUUUGACCCUGCCUGAGGACAGUCCACAUCCACCUCCAGAUCAGCCAAGUUUCCCAGGCUGGAGAAGUGGGUCACUGUGCAUAGCAUACAGGGCCGUAGCAGAGGUGUCCUUCCCUCCCUGUGGGCAGAGAGCUUUCCUGCUGCCACGUGAAGCUGCCUUUCCACCUCCUGGACCGUGUCUGGCUUCUGCAGGCGGAAUGCUGGGACCCAGUCCAGAAAAGCAGGAAAGCAGCUCGGUGCACGCAGACAGCUUUACUCAUCUCAUGGAACAGCAGAACCGAUUCAGAUUCUUUCAUCCAGUGCACCCGGCCUCUGCAGCCCCCCAGCAGCAGCACCAAAGAGGGAAUGCAUCCUCAGUUCAAUCCCCUGCUCCCUCACACGCUGUCAGAAGCAUGUAACCACAACAACCGGCUUCAUCCUGGCUUUCUAGGGAGAGCAGAGGUGACAACUGCUUAAAGAGAAGGGAGGAGGAGAUAAUACUCGAGAGCUGUGCUGUCUUGUUUCCAGCCUCAAAUGCAUGCUCCGGGUGAAAACAUCUAAACUGUUUUUCAGAUUCGCAUCCCUUUCAGUGGGACCACUGAUGCUCUCAGGCUAACAGCAUUUUUAGUUCUGUACUCUUAAAAAAUGAAAUCCAAGCUGAUUGUAAUGGCUUUAUUUCCGCUGAAGAAUAUGGUUUACAGUAUGGAUAUAAAGACUGUCUUCACCUGAACGACAACUGGAAAGGUUCAUAUGCUUCAGUAAAGCACUGCUGGUUUGUUACAGACAGUAGUAUGCAUAAGCCUAAAUGUACUUUGCUAUUCCAAUUACAUGAUCGGCACUCAUGAAUGGGAGCCUGAGCUUUAUCUCCACUGACCCUGAGAAGCCCCUGGAGAUUUAUGAUGAAAUGAAGCAUAUGUUUUCUGGUGAUUUCUGGAAAAUGAAGAAACAACAACCACUCGUUCUGAUCUUCUCGGGAAACAAAGUGAUAUAUCAUCAGAGCUUCCAUAUUGCCGCAGGGGAAUUUGGAGGGUCCCUACUUUUACUCCCUCAGCACACGCGGAUUUGGCAAUGCUAUGCAGAUGAACAGCAAUUCUGGCUCUUGCCGAUAAAUCAGACCACUUUAAUAGGCUCAGGAAAAUGAUGUGGAAUGUAAAGUGUUCUGCCCUUGUAACCAGCACGGUGGAGCCGCAGGACAUGUUGGAAAUGACACAAUGAACCACUGUGUGCUCUUAUUUGCAGAGUACCCGGACAUAAUCAUGUGGGAAGGAGUGCAGAAGCUUUGCAUUUCCUGGAAACAUUCUCAUCCGAGGGCAGCUGUCAGUUCUUUAGCAAAAGAGGUGGCUGAAGGACAGAGGGAGAAACCUAUGAGGAACAAAAGCAUCCAAGGAGCAGCCAGCAUGAUGGACUACGGUAAUUAGGAAGCUCUAAGACCUGUCUAACAUUUUAGGAGAACAAACUGAACUCUGGGCAGUGCCAGGCACAGGGUGUGUGAACCAGGCAUGAAGCCAUCCACGCCCAACAUUCCACAGCCACCCCUCCAGCCUCUGCCCAGCAAGCUGCACAACAGCCCCAGCACCAACUGGUAAACCAGAAGGUUUGAGAAGGGUCUGUCAAUGAAGUGCCGUGCAAACGGAUGGAUACAAAUUCUCUUCACUUGUGCUCUUUUAAGCACAUGUGCAUUGCAGGUCUCUUUUGACAUCUCAGGAUAACGGAUAUACUGUAAAUAAGCACUAAUUUUAAGUCUUGAUUACUUUAUGUUCUUGAGCUACAAACUUGUUGAUGGUGUUUUCAGAGCUAUUCAAGAACUCCCUUUUCUUCCUUCUCCAUCCUCACGCAGCACAAUUCUCCAUUUUCUUUUUGAGUCACUCCCUCUUGCUCCUUUCUUCGAUUAUUUUAUUCUCCAAGACUUUGGCAAAAGUUAUCAUUCCUGAGAGAGCACCCAUGGUGCAGGAACUAUUUGAUUGCAUUAGAGAGAUGGGCUGAGAUUAAUGUAAACCACAGAGAGUGGAUUAGGAGAACAAUGAAAAAACUCUAAUGAGGUUUGCACAGCCUAGUUCACUUGAGGAGCAAAUUUCUUGACACUUCCCCUUGGAGUUCAAGAUGACACUUUAAUCUCACUAUUAAAAACAUGACCUAAGGAUCGACCAGGGUGGAGCAUGGGAAACAAUGUCCUUUUAAUUGUCUACUCUGGAGUAACAAUCUACUUAUGAUAUAACAGCCCUUGCCGUCUGGCUCCAGGCGAGUCAUACUCCCUUUGAGAGGGUUCUGAGAAAUGUUACUUUCAGUAGGUGGUACAUGACCAAAUUCCAGCUCUUAUCUUGGUUUCAGCAUGUGUGCAGUGAGAGGGACAGGCUUUUCUCAGAUCUCACCAGCCAAAUUACUUCUCAGGGCAUACCCAGGGCUUUCUCAGGGUUGCGUCAGUCUUCCCGCAGAAUGUUAAUAGUGCCCCUUCUAACAGUGUAGAUAGAGUUUGAGGCUGCUUGUGAUCUCCCAGAAAACUCACAGUGUUCCUCAUUUAUCUGUUCUGCAUUUUCUUUACCCAGAUUGUUCUAUCUCACUCUGCGGAGGAAUCACUUUCAGUUUCAUCAGCUGUCUGAUUGCUCUGUAUAGGCUCUGUUUCUGCCAUCUGAAAGAACCCAGAGCACAACAUCACUAGGUAGGAUGUGCUUCAGUGCUCAGCCAGGCCCAGGGGGCCUCUCAGCAGGACGUGCCUGGGACACAGGUAACAAAUGGAUGUUCUCUGUCCUCUGGAGGAAACGUGUCUACACCAGAGGCCACGCUUUCAAGCUGUUGGAGACACACAGCUGUCAAUUUCUCCCUCAACAACCACCACAAACACAAUUAUGGCUGACUGAACUUAGGAUUUUUAAAAUCCCUAUUGUUAGUAAAACUAAAGAUUGAUGUGAAUGGGGGUUGGCAUUACCUUCUACAUGCCAAAGACAAAGGAUUAUCACGCAUGAUUGACUCUUUUGUGACUUCCUGAAAAAAAAAAAAAACUUUCUUACACUUAGCAAAUGUCAAGACUAGGAAAGUUAGUCUCAGGUUUGUCACUAAUGAAAUGGCCUCAGCUCAGUGCCCUUGCUGAGUUUUUGAAGCUUUGUUCCUCGAGUCAAGUAAAUGAUGCACCAGGAAGGUGUAGAUGCGUGUGAUGUGCAUCAGGGCAGAGCGGUGGUUGGAUGCACGUGAAUGACAGGCUAAGCACAGCUGCAUGGGUUUCCAGCCGCUUGGGCUGCCUAUAGAUCAUACUUCGUGUAGGUUUCAUUGUGUUGGGUUUUCAAAAGCGCUCUGAAGCAAUGGACCCGUCCAGAGCCACGGCACCACAGCCAGCGGUGGUUCUGUCACAUGCCCUAAACAUUUUGCUUAUUUUUCCAAUGAAUUAUUCGGGAUGUUGGUUAUUAGCCUGAUUUUGAGGAAAUGAGGCUGAGGCAGCUGCCUGUGUGGGUUAUCAGCUCCCCGUGGCAUCUCUUGAAGCUCUCAGCCCCAUUUAGCCAAACCCCACAGACGUGCAGGUCUCCCCAGCUGCGCAGUCUGGGACACAGGGCAAGCACUACAGCAGGAGAGCAGUGCUCCGGAUGCUACCAGCCAACGACCACUUCUAUUCCCAUUUCUGUGCGGCUACACGAGCAGUUCGCUAGGAGUGAGGCUCAAAGCCCCGGGGAAGCCCUCAUCCCCAACGGCCUGCUGUGACCAGAGCCACGCGGGGCUGUGAGGGAGCAACGCGGCCUCAGCUGCAACCGGCCCUUUCCUCAGGAUGACCCGAGUUGGAAGGCCCGAGAGCGGCACGGAGCGCUGGGGGACAGCCCCGAGGUGAGCACAGUCCCGAACCGCUCGGUAACCUCCUCACAGGGCCCCGAAAUAGGCCCGACACCCCGCUGCCCCCGGCGCUGCCACGCAUGCG